AUUGAACGCUGGCGGCAUGCCUUACACAUGCAAGUCGAACGGCAGCGGACCUUCGGGUGCCGGCGAGUGGCGAACGGGUGAGUAAUGCAUCGGAACGUGCCAUUGAGUGGGGGAUAACGCAGCGAAAGCUGUGCUAAUACCGCAUACGAUCUACGGAUGAAAGCGGGGGACUCGCAAGGGCCUCGCGCGGACGGAGCGGCCGAUGGCAGAUUAGGUAGUUGGUGGGAUAAAAGCUUACCAAGCCGACGAUCUGUAGCUGGUCUGAGAGGACGACCAGCCACACUGGGACUGAGACACGGCCCAGACUCCUACGGGAGGCAGCAGUGGGGAAUUUUGGACAAUGGGCGCAAGCCUGAUCCAGCCAUGCCGCGUGCGGGAUGAAGGCCUUUGGGUUGUAAACUGCUUUUGUACGGAACGAAAAAGCCUUCUCUAAUAAAGGGGGUGAAUGACGGUACCGUAAGAAUAAGCACCGGCUAACUACGUGCCAGCAGCCGCGGUAAU
rnacentral:rRNA from 1 species